rnacentral:rRNA from 1 species
GAUGAACGCUAGCGGCAGGCCUAACACAUGCAAGUCGAGGGGUAACUAGAGUGAUAGCAAUAUUACUUUGGCUAGACCGGCGCACGGGUGCGUAACACGUAUGCAACCUACCUUAUACUGGGGAAUAACUUCGAGAAAUCGGCGCUAAUACCCCAUAACAUUGCGAAGAGGCAUCUCUUUGCAAUUAAAGCUCCGGCGGUAUAAGAUGGGCAUGCGUCCAAUUAGCUAGUAGGUGGGGUAACGGCUCACCUAGGCGACGAUCCCUAGCUGGUCUGAGAGGAUGACCAGCCACACUGGAACUGAGACACGGUCCAGACUCCUACGGGAGGCAGCAGUGGGGAAUAUUGCACAAUGGGCGCAAGCCUGAUGCAGCCAUGCCGCGUGUAUGAAGAAGGCCUUCGGGUUGUAAAGUACUUUCAGCGGGGAGGAAGGUGUUGAGGUUAAUAACCUCAGCAAUUGACGUUACCCGCAGAAGAAGCACCGGCUAACUCCGUGCCAGCAGCCGCCGUAACAC